AAUAUCUGAUGACAUUUAAAUUGAUGAUGUCACAAGUGAUACAAAGAGCACGACCAUUAAUUAUGCAUAUAUGUGUAAUUGAGGCUCAAAGGGUUAACAAAUAGAUUCCAUGUUGCUGUGCAUCUGUUCGCAGUAGAUCGCAGAUGAGGUCAAAAUGCGGUAAAAAAUAUACAGUGCAUGAGAUGAUAGCUGAGUGUGUCACUGAUGUUCUUACCACAUUUCGAUGUCUUCUUUGAUCUUUUACUGAACAAGCACAUGGCAACAUGGAACCAGUUCUAACCAGUGGAGAAGCCAAGAAGUGUUUUAAUAGGUCCAUUUGAUCAAAAGUAAGAACUAAUCAAAAUGUGAGAAUAAUUUGACUCACAUAAUUUAGGUUAUAUGGACACCUGAAGCAAGCCUGUCAAUGGUUAAAGUUCUAUUGGUUCUAAAGUUAAAAAGAUCAGUCAGAGGGUUAUGAGACAAUACUAAAACAAACUAUGAGUUCCCAGGGUAAUAAUAUUGCAAUAAUUGUUAAAUGGGAAUUGGCUGAACCAGAUAGCUAUGUUUUUUUAGGUCCAAACUUGUGUGCUUCAAUUUAACUUGAUAUAUUAGGCAGAUGAAUCAGCUUGACCUUUAAAACUAAUGAUGUUUUUUGUUUGAUCAAGGGAUCUGUAAUACUGGGAAGAUAAGAGGACAGGGAUAGGGACUUACAUGAAGACCCCUAACAAUUUCUGGAGACUCAAAUUAAGCAUUGUAUCUUAACAAUCACUGAGCUGGACUAUCAGACAGCAGUACGGUGGAUACAAAUCAGGACAAAGCAAGAAGAGGAUGAGCACAUUCACCAUCAUUCAAGAUGGAUGAUUUUAUCGCCGUCUAGGACCCAGGUAAACACGUGUUCUUAUGCACAAAACGUAAGUUGGCUCAGACUCUCAAUUAUCCUCCUGAAGUUGGAUCUGAGUGCACUCUUGACAACUUGCACAGCUUUCUAAAUUCCAUACUAUUUUUAGAUUAAUCUACAUUGAAAGGAGCUAUAUUGGGUUUGUUUAAUUAUCUUUAGUUGUUUCACUGUGAUUUCCUUCGUUUCGACAUGCUCCGAGUAAAAUAUAAUAGCCGAACGCUCGUAUGUGAACAAAAACAAAGGUGUGUCUGAUUAGGGCCCUUUAAGUAGAAUUUUCUGUCGUUCGCUGAUUCUUUGCGGGAGGGUGGAGUAAAUAACUAUAAUAAUUUUUCGGCGGAUUAGCUGCGAUUGAAUCUCGUUUUCGUUCACUUUUCUUAUGAUAACAUUAUUCAGGAGAAAAUGCGUGAAAAACUAUUCAAAAUAUAGAAACAAUCCCCUUGUUUUUUCGAGU